CGAUGAGUGAAGAACCCGUCGGCCUAGGCACCACCGCUCCUCCAAUUACUGCACCGACUUCACCAACCACUGAGACAGUUAAACUAAAGGAGGUAGGUGCGAGUAGUAGCGCUGCUGAUCCCGUAACUCUCACUGAAGAUAUCCCUGCCAAUGAGCCGAGAGAUCAAGGACUUACCCAUGAUAUGGGUAUUGGAGAUUUCAAC